UGGGGAAUAUUGCACAAUGGGCGAAAGCCUGAUGCAGCCAUGCCGCGUGUGUGAAGAAGGCCUUAGGGUUGUAAAGCACUUUCAGCGAGGAGGAAAGGGGGUAGGUUAAUACCUUAUCUCUGUGACGUUACUCGUAGAAGAAGCACCGGCUAACUCCGUGCCAGCAGCCGCGGUAAUACGGAGGGUGCGAGCGUUAAUCGGAAUUACUGGGCGUAAAGCGUGCGUAGGCGGCUACUUAAGUUGGAUGUGAAAGCCCUGGGCUCAACCUGGGAACUGCAUCCAGAACUGGGUGGCUAGAGUGCGAGAGAGGAGUGUGGAAUUUCCUGUGUAGCGGUGAAAUGCGUAGAUAUAGGAAGGAACACCAGUGGCGAAGGCGACACUCUGGCUUGACACUGACGCUGAGGUACGAAAGCGUGGGGAGCAAACAGGAUUAGAUACCCUGGUAGUCCACGCCGUAAACGAUGUCUACUAGUUGUCGGUUGUCUUGUACGACUGGUAACGCAGCUAACGCGAUAAGUAGACCGCCUGGGGAGUACGGCCGCAAGGUUA
rnacentral:rRNA from 1 species